rnacentral:tRNA from 1 species
GUCCACAUGGCGCAGUGGUUAAGCGUCUGGCAGGCAUUAGUGUGGAAACUAAUGUAAUGGGUUCGAAUCCCAUUGUGGUCC